GUGCUCACCUUGGCAGCACAUGUACCAAAAUUGGAAGGAUAUAGAGAUUAGCAUGGCCCCUGUGCAAGGAUGACAUGCAAAUGGUGAAGCAUUACGUAUUUUU
ensembl:snRNA U6 U6 spliceosomal RNA